GGGCAGUUUCACCAUUUCCUCAACCAGAACAGAGCUGAACUGUGAGGAGCAUCCUCAAGUUUCGUUUCCUGUGUGUUGAUAUCACCUGGGGAUUGAUUAAACUUCUCCACUUCUCCCUGUAUCCAGGGUCCACCUCUCCCUCCUCUUCCAGCCUCUGCUCCAUUCCCUCCUCCUCCCUCCCGUUCCCCCCCCUUCCCUCUCCCCCUCUUCUCCUCCAGCUCCUCCCUGUGGCUUCCCUUUCAGAGGCCUCAUCCUCACAGGCAGCGGGGAUGCUCUGCAGCUUUGACAACCAACCAGCAAUCGGUGCUCCAAUUGCUCAGUGGCUUGGCACCCUGAAGGGGUCGCUGCUGCCAUAGGCUCUGCUGGAGCCUCCUUCCCACAGCCUGGCACAGUAGGGGAACCGCUGUGGCUGGCACCUGAGAGGCACCGCUCACCAAUCAACUUAGGAUUUUUUGACUUUACAUUGAUGCAGAGUGAUCCACAUUCAGUAAAAACCAUACUUUGAAUUUGGAUUCUUUCCUGGGCUGGUGAGAGUAUGAUGUUGUCUCACAAUGCUGGGCAGAGGCAGCAAGUCCUGCUCCCAGUCAGCCUCGGGAUCCUGAGGGGAAACCAUCAACCCUCUACAGUGGGCUGUGACCUGCGACAGUGCUGUUGAGCAAGGGUGUGUGGUAGGUCCCUGCACUGUGUACAUGUUUGACUGUCAGUAUUUUCUGAUGGGUUUAUUACAAUGUAGCCCCAUGUAAGCUGAGAAGCAUAGGCCCAGGCAGGUUCCAGCGACAACCACAUGCAAUAGUGUUGUAUUGCAGAGAGAGCAGCAGCAGGAUGUCAGUCAUUUGGGAUGGAUAGAACUAUUGUUCUAGUGUUUCUUUUUUUAAAUAUUUAUUUUUUAGUUUUCGGCGGACACAACAUCUUUAUUUGUAUGUGGUGCUGAGGAUCGAACCCAGGCCGCACGCAUGCCAGGCGAGCGCGCUACCGCUUGAGCCACAUCCCCAGCCCAGUUCUACUGUUUCUUUCUGAACCAUGUGACACUGAGGUGUCUCCCAAAAGAACAGACAGAGGGUACAUCUCCACCUUACUGAUUUAAGUCAUGGCCUUCAGACUGCUCAGACCAAUAGAAUAUGGUGGAGGACUUGAUAUGAGCAUGUGCCAGACCUGGCCUUCCAUGCCAUGCUCUUCCUUUUGUGGUUCUGUCAUUUGCCAUGAGAAGAACAUGGCCCUGUUGGAUCCUGAAAGGAGACCCACAGCGGGGAAUCUAAACCCAACCGAAAGCCUGGACCAAGGUUAGCCAAGACCAAGGGAAAGUCAAAACCCACCUGCAAAGUCAUGAAGCUUGUUCUCGUAGCCAUUGAGAUGUGGAGGUUGCUGGCUACCCCGUGGAACUGACAACGCACCCCUCUGGAUUAGAGGGGACAAGGAGAGGUAUGUUCCUGGACUGGACUGUCUGGCAGUUUUGUAAGAGUGGUGAUUUGUUGUACAAUGAUACAUGAAGCUGGCUUUCUAAAUACCCAUCAGGUCUCCUUGGUCACAUCAGAAUAUACUAAGAUGUUUAUUCCCUACCUAUUUUAUAAUUUCUGUGAGGAACAAAUAAAACCUUCAUAAUUGCUACCAAAAGAGAGGUGGGAUGUAGUGCCUAGGAGCAGCUCUUUGGGUCAUUACCUUGAGGAUUUCCAACUCUCAGUUAGCUUGACUUCUCUCUCUUCCCAUUUCUACCAGGGCAUUUAAAUUCAGAGAGCCACGUUGCCUGCCCCAGAAGGCUGCCGCUUGGUAAAGACUAAUGUUGGUGUUCCUUUUAGUGUCUCCUGGGAUUUCAUCACACAAAUACUUUUGGGCCAUCAUUUCUUCUUAAAGGGUAGGCUGAUUGGCACUCCCAAUAACAGCAGUUCUGUGUCAAUCCUGACACCUAUGGUUUAAACAGCUGUCCCACUCCAGGCUUGUGGUUAGGAUCAAAAUGUUACAUAGUCAUCCACGCAUGCAAUAUAACAAUAUACUUUGGCCAAUAUCACUCCACAGUACCUUGGCCCUCCUACCCCUUGGUCCCUUUUCUCUACUGUUCUUUCUUUGAUUUCCAUGAGAUCCACCCCACCUAUCUUUCCCUUUUUCUUCUCUAUCUCCC
rnacentral:lncRNA from 1 species